CCGGAAACUACAGGACCAAAUCAGACCCCAUGCUCAAGGGAGCUCUGAAGAACAGUAAGCUGUCAGCAUCAGACAUCUCACCCCGGGGUUAAGGUAGCCCAGCUCGCCAGUGCGGCCAUCCCGACCACAGGUACUGACCAAUGCUGAAAAGCUGGGAAUUCAUGCAGUGGAAGUAGGACACGAAGAGGAGGCCAAUUGGCCUCGAGGCAUCAAAGAAGAGCAGGAAACCAGCUGAGAGGUCGAGCAGCAGUCCGCACCAGUGCACCACUAGCAGACUGGUCAUCUCCUCGGACAAUACUAGUCUGUAGACACGAGGGACAAAGCUCAGGUCAUGAUCCCCCAGUCUGUGAGUUCGAGCCCUGCACUGCGUUCUACACUGAAAGGGCACAGCCUGUUUGGGAUUUUUCUCUCCCUUCUUCUCUUCCUGCCCCUCCUGCGUGUGCACUCACUCU